rnacentral:rRNA from 1 species
GUACUGUGCGAACGUUAUUCGGAAUCACUGGGCUUAAAGGGUGCGUAGGCGGGCUGGAUAAGUAGGGGUGUGAAAUCCCUCGGGCUCAACCGAGGAACUGCGCUCUAAACUGUCCGGCUUGAGUGAGAUAGGGGUGUGCGGAACUUCCAGUGGAGCGGUGAAAUGUGUUGAUAUUGGAAGGAACGCCGGUGGCGAAAGCGGCACACUGGGUCUCAACUGACGCUGAGGCACGAAAGCCAGGGUAGCGAACGGGAUUAGAUACCCCGGUAGUCCUGGCCGUAAACGAUGAGCACUAGUUGGGAGGGGUUUCGGCCUCUUCGAACGUAGCGAAAGCAUUAAGUGCUCCGCCUGGGGAGUAUGGUCGCAAAGGCUG